rnacentral:rRNA from 1 species
CCCUUAGAUGUUCUGGGCCGCACGCGCGCUACACUGACGAAGCCAGCGAGCAUGUCCUACGCCGACAGGUGCGGGGAAUCUUGUCAAACUUCGUCGUGAUGGGGAUUGAUUAUUGAAAUUCUUGAUCAUCAACGAGGAAUUCCUAGUAAGCGCAAGUCAGCAGCUUGCGUUGAUUACGUCCCUGCCCUUUGUACACACCGCCCGUCGCUACUACCGAUUGAAUGGUUUAGUGAGAUCUUCGGAUUGGCGCCACUGCGGCUCAGCAAUGGGCUCGGUGGAUGCCGAAAAGUUGAUCAAACUUGAUCAUUUAGAGGAAGUAAAAGUCGUAACA